ACGGGAGGCAGCAGUGGGGAAUAUUGGGCAAUGGGCGAAAGCCUGACCCAGCAACGCCGCGUGAAGGAAGAAGGUCUUCGGAUUGUAAACUUCUUUUAUGAGGGACGAUAAUGACGGUACCUCAUGAAUAAGCCCCGGCUAACUACGUGCCAGCAGCCGCGGUAAUACGUAGGGGGCAAGCGUUAUCCGGAUUUACUGGGUGUAAAGGGAGCGUAGACGGCAAUGCAAGUCUGAAGUGAAAGCCCGUGGCUUAACUGCGGGACUGCUUUGGAAACUGCAUGGCUAGAGUGUCGGAGAGGUGAGUGGAAUUCCCAGUGUAGCGGUGAAAUGCGUAGAUAUUGGGAGGAACACCGGAGGCGAAGGCGGCUCACUGGACGAUCACUGACGUUGAGGCUCGAAAGCGUGGGGAGCAAACAGGAUUAGAUACCCUGGUA
rnacentral:rRNA from 1 species